GACGAACGCUGGCGGCGUGCUUAACACAUGCAAGUCGAACGAAGUGGCGAACGGGUGAGUAACACGUGGGUAACCUAACCAUCAGAGGGGGAUAACACUUGGAAACAGGUGCUAAUACCGCAUACUGAGGGAUGGACCCGCGUGGCAUUAGCUAGUUGGUGAGGUAACGGCUCACCAAGGCCACGAUGCAUAGCCGACCUGAGAGGGGGGUCGGCCCAACUGGGACGUGGACACGGCCCAGACUCCGACGGGAGGCAGCAGUAGGGAAUCUUCGGCAAUGGGCGAAAGUCUGACGGAGCAACGCCGCGUGAGUGAUGACGGCCUUCGGGUUGUAAAGAUCUGUUAAUCGGGACGCGGUACCGGAAUAGAAAGCCACGGCUAACUACGUGCCAGCAGCCGCGGUAAUUC
rnacentral:rRNA from 1 species